CCAAUUUCCAGUGCAGAAAGAUUAUCUCUUGCAGAGGGUGUACUCUUGAAUCGAGAGGAUGGCACCAAGUACAGAAGUUUGGUCGGAGCACUUCAGUACUUAACACUUACAUGGCCUGAUAUUUCUUUUGCAGUUAAUAAAGUAUGUAAGUUUCUGCAUGAACCUACCUCAGCUCAUUGGACUGCUGCUAAGAGGAUUCUACGAUAUGUAAAGAGUACAUUGAGUGUUGGACUCACUUUCAACAAGUCAUCCUCUACUCUUGUCAGUGCUUUUUCUGAUUCUGACUGGGCAGGAUGCUUGGAUGACAGACGGUCCACUGAUGGUUUUGCAAUUUUCUUUGGACCUAAUCUUAUUUCUUGGUGUGCCAAGAAGCAAGCAACAGUGUCACGAUCUAGUACUGAGGCAGAGUAUAAAGCACUAGCCAAUGCAACAGUUGAGAUCAUCUGGGUUAAGGCCAUGCUCAAGGAACUUGGAAUACAUGCUCAAACACCAUGUCUUUGGUGCGAUAAUCUUGGUGCCACAUAUCUUUCUGCU
rnacentral:rRNA from 1 species